rnacentral:rRNA from 1 species
UACAGAGGUGGCAAGCGUUGUUCGGAAUUACUGGGCGUAAAGGGCGCGUAGGCGGUCUUCUAAGUCUUGUGUGAAAUCCCUCGGCUCAACUGAGGAACUGCACGGGGUACUGGAAGACUUGAGUUCGGGAGAGGGAAGCGGAAUUCCGGGUGUAGCGGUGAAAUGCGUAGAUAUCCGGAGGAACACCGGUGGCGAAGGCGGCUUCCUGGACCGAUCACUGACGCUGAGGCGCGAAAGCUAGGGGAGCAAACGGG